CCUACGGGUGGCAGCAGUAGGGAAUUUUGCACAAUGGGCGAAAGCCUGACGCAGCAACGCCGCGUGAUCGAAACGCCCCUCCUGGUUUAAAAAUCUUUCAAUCGGGGCGGAACUUGACGGUACCCACAGAAGCAUCCCCGGCUAACUCCGUUCCCGCCGCCGCGGUCAGACGGGGGGUCCAAGCGUUUUCCGGAAUCAGUGGGCGGAACGGUUUCGGAGGCGGCAGGUAAAGUCUGGGGUUAAAGGCAGCGGCUCAACCUUGGUACGGCACUGGAUACUUGCGCGCUAGAAUGCGGUAGAGGGAGAGGGAAUGCCUGGUGUAGCGGUGAAAUGCGUAGAGAUCAGGAGGAACAUCGGUGGCGUAAGCGCUGUACUGGGCCGUAAUUGACGCUGAGGAACGAAAGCGAGGGGAGCAAAUGGGAUUAGAUACCCUGGUAGUC
rnacentral:rRNA from 1 species